rnacentral:rRNA from 1 species
AAUGAACGCUGGCGGCAUGCCUUACACAUGCAAGUCGAACGGCAGCAUGACCUAGCUUGCUAGGUUGAUGGCGAGUGGCGAACGGGUGAGUAAUGCAUCGGAACGUGCCUUUUAGUGGGGGAUAACGUAGCGAAAGUUACGCUAAUACCGCAUAUUCUCUGAGGAGGAGAGCAGGGGACCUUCGGGCCUUGCGCUAGAAGAGCGGCCGAUGUCGGAUUAGCUAGUUGGUGAGGUAAAGGCUCACCAAGGCAACGAUCCGUAGCGGGUCUGAGAGGAUGAUCCGCCACACUGGGACUGAGACACGGCCCAGACUCCUACGGGAGGCAGCAGUGGGGAAUUUUGGACAAUGGGCGCAAGCCUGAUCCAGCCAUGCCGCGUGAGUGAAGAAGGCCUUCGGGUUGUAAAGCUCUUUCGGCUGGGAAGAAAUCGCACCCUCUAAUACAGGGUGUGGAUGACGGUACCAGCAUAAGAAGCACCGGCUAACUACGUG